GGAUUAGAUACCCUGGUAGUCCACGCAGUAAACGAUGUACACUAGGUGUAGCGGAUAUUAAAAUUUGCUGUGCCGUAGCUAACGCAUUAAGUGUACCGCCUGGGGAGUACGGUCGCAAGACUAAAACUCAAAGGAAUUGACGGGGGCCCGCACAAGCGGUGGAGCAUGUGGUUUAAUUCGACAACGCGAAGAACCUUACCUGGGUUUGACAUCCUGUGAACCCUUUAGAGAUAGAGGGGUGCCUUCGGGAGCACAGAGACAGGUGCUGCAUGGCUGUCGUCAGCUCGUGCCG
rnacentral:rRNA from 1 species